rnacentral:tRNA from 1 species
GGCUCCAUAGUGUAGCAGUUAGCAAGUCUGCUUUAGACAUAGAAGGUCUGGGUUUGCGCCCCAGGUGGAGCCA